ensembl:miRNA
AAGAAUGGAUGCUGAAGGGACUCAGUUGGAGUGGGCUCUCAGGUUUGAGACUGGUGCAGUAGGAGUGAGCUAGCCUGGAUCUCUGAUUUGCAGAGCACACUCACAACCUGGGCUACAAUUGAUGC